GACGAACGCUGGCGGCGUGCCUAAUACAUGCAAGUCGAACGCAGUGGGGACGGGUGAGUAACACGUGGGUAACCUCCCAUCAGAGGGGAUAACACUUGGAAACAGGUGCUAAACCGAUACUGAUGGAUGGACCCGCGGUGCAUUAGCUAGUUGGUGAGGUAACGGCUCACCAAGGCCACGAUGCAUAGCUGACCGGAGGGGGUGUGCGGGCAACCUGGGACGUAGACACGGCCGAGAGUCCUACGGGAGGCAGCAGUAGGGAAUCUGCGGCAAGGGACGAAAGUCUGACCGAGCAACGCCGCGGGAGUGAAGAAGGUUUUCGGAUCGUAAAACUCUGUUGUUAGAGAAGCGGUAGCUAACCAGAAAGCCACGGCUAACUACGUGCCAGCAGCCGCGGUAAUAC
rnacentral:rRNA from 1 species